rnacentral:rRNA from 1 species
UACGUAGGGUGCGAGCGUUUGUCCGGAAUUAUUGGGCGUAAAGAGCUCGUAGGCGGUUUGUCGCGUCGAAUGUGAAAUCCCGGGGCUCAACUCCGGGCCUGCAUUCGAUACGGGCAGACUAGAGUUCGGUAGGGGAGUCUGGAAUUCCUGGUGUAGCGGUGAAAUGCGCAGAUAUCAGGAGGAACACCGAUGGCGAAGGCAGGUCUCUGGGCCACUACUGACGCUGAGAAGCGAAAGCAUGGGGAGCGAACAGG